GAUGGCGACCGGCGCACGGGUGAGUAACACGUAUCCAACCUGCCGUCUACUCUUGGACAGCCUUCUGAAAGGAAGAUUAAUACAAGAUGGCAUCAUGAGUCCGCAUGUUCACAUGAUUAAAGGUAUUCCGGUAGACGAUGGGGAUGCGUUCCAUUAGAUAGUAGGCGGGGUAACGGCCCACCUAGUCUUCGAUGGAUAGGGGUUCUGAGAGGAAGGUCCCCCACAUUGGAACUGAGACACGGUCCAAACUCCUACGGGAGGCAGCAGUGAGGAAUAUUGGUCAAUGGGCGAGAGCCUGAACCAGCCAAGUAGCGUGAAGGAUGACUGCCCUAUGGGUUGUAAACUUCUUUUAUAAAGGAAUAAAGUCGGGUAUGGAUACCCGUUUGCAUGUACUUUAUGAAUAAGGAUCGGCUAACUCCGUGCCAGCAGCCGCGGUAAUACGGAGGAUCCGAGCGUUAUCCGGAUUUAUUGGGUUUAAAGGGAGCGUAGAUGGAUGUUUAAGUCAGUUGUGAAAGUUUGCGGCUCAACCGUAAAAUUGCAGUUGAUACUGGAUAUCUUGAGUGCAGUUGAGGCAGGCGGAAUUCGUGGUGUAGCGGUGAAAUGCUUAGAUAUCACGAAGAACUCCGAUU
rnacentral:rRNA from 1 species